GGAACUUACGAAUUUCGGAUU
rnacentral:miRNA from 1 species